rnacentral:lncRNA from 1 species
AUAGGGUUUGAUGAUUUUUCAUCAAACCCUCCCAUUUUUACCUUAUCUCAUUUUAAGUCCCCUAUUUUCAGUAAAUUACAAAAGAAACCCCAUUCUUUUGAGUCUAGUCCCUCAAGUUUAUGGAAAUCCCAAAAUGAACCCCAUGUUAUUAAAAACAGCCCAACAGUUAUGCCCAACUCAAUUUUUGACCCUAAACUAUCUGAAAAUUCGAAAAAAACCCCUACUGCAUGUCAAGUGUCAAAUAAACAAGUCAGUAGAAAAACAAAUUGGAUUUUUGAUUGUGGGGCUACAGACACUAUGACUUUUGACAAAUCAGAUAUACUUGAGUCAUCAAAAUCCUUUAGAACUCAUGUACAAACUGCUAAUGGUGACUUAACUCAAGUAGUCGGAGCCGGAACUAUAGAAAUCUCCCCAACCUUGCGAUUAUCCAAUUGUCUAUAUGUUCCGUCCCUAUCUCAUAAGUUGUUGUCAAUUAGUCAUGUUACUAAAGAACUCAAUUGUACCAUGCUGAUGCAUCCUCACUUCUGUUUUCUUCAGGAUAUCAGGACGGNUGCAUAUCAAAUCUCUAGUGAUAAACAGGAUAGAGAUAAAAGUGGAUUUUUGACUGUGGGCUACUGAUACUAUGACUUUUGAGAAAACUGAUAUUCUUGAGUCGUCACCAUCAUACCGAACACAUGUUCAAACUGCAAACGGUGACCUGACCAGUGUUGAAGGAGCCAGAACUAUAGAAAUCUCCCCUACUCUUCGUCUUUCAAACUGUCUAUAUGUUCCCUCUCUUUCUCAUAAACUCUUGUCUAUUAGCCAUGUUACAAAAGAUCUCAAUUGCACCAUGAUCAUGCAUCCUCACUUCUGUCUUCUUCAGGAUAUCAGGACGGGGGAGAUUAUUGGGCGUGGCACUGAGCGGGAUGGAUUGUAUUAUGUGGAUGAGAUAGCUCACAAGGCAAGGUGAUGCUGGCUCACGGGACUGCUAACCGGGAAGCUUGGCUUUGGCAUCGUCGGUUAGGGCAUCCAUCCAUGGGGUAUCUUAAAAUUUUGUUUCCCGAGUUAGUAAAAAAUGAGUCAUUAUCAUGUGAAACUUGUGUUUUGGCUAAGAGCCACAGACAGUCUUUUAAACCCAAUAAUUCUUGUGUUGACUCUAUUUUUUCCUUAGUACAUUCUGAUGUUUGGGGACCGUCUCCUGUUUCGGGGGGUCAAGGUUUUAAGUAUUUCCUACUUUUUAUUGAUGACUGUACUAGGAUGACGUGGGUAUACUUUCUCAAACAUAAGUCUGAAGUUUUUGAAAAAUUUACCCAUUUUUUUGCCCUGGUUCAAACUCAAUUUCAAAAACAUAUUCAGACCCUUAGAACCGAUAAUGGGGGGGGAAUUUGUUAAUCAUUCUAUGCAGAAUUUUUGUCAACAAAAAGGGAUAAUCCAUCAAACCACUUGCCCUCAUACCCCCGAACAAAACGGUGUUGCUGAACGAAAAAAUAGAAUCCUUCUUGAAAUGACCCGGGCUAUGAUAAUUGAAUCUAAAGUGCCCACUCACUUCUGGCCUGAAGCUGUUGCCACUUCAGUCUAUCUCAUAAAUCGUCUUCCUACUAGAACUCUCCAGUUACAAACCCCUCUGCAAAAACUAUCCAAUUUGGCCUCUGUCCCGCCUACACUUACUCUUCAACCUCGGGUAUUUGGGUGUUCAGUUUUUGUUCAUAUCCCCAAGCAUGAAAGAACUAAACUCUCUCCGUGUGCCCUUAAGUGUGUUUUUGUAGGAUAUGGGGUUAACCAAAAAGGUUAUAGGUGUUACAAUCCAAAGACCCGUCAAGUCUUAACCACGAUGAAUUGUGAUUUCCUUGAAACCGAAUAUUUUUAUGAUACCCACCUUAACAGUCAGGGAGAGAGUGAGGAAAAGAGUGAAAUAGACAUGUUAAGCUGGUUACCAAUGCCAAGUCCUGAAGCAGGACCACCAGAGACGGUUAACCUUGCCACCGAGCAGGUCUCAUCCACUUCAGAAUCAAUCUCUUCUCAGCCUCAGCAUCCCAUAUCUCCUCAUCCGAUAUCUCCGGUAAGAAAUUCAGAACCUACUGUUCUUUCCGAUUCAACUGAUCAUAUUCCUCAGAUUGGUGUAGAAGAACAGGAGAAUACGACAGAUGGUGAUGCUGGGAGAUACGUUUUACCUCCUAGGAGUACUAGAGGUAUUCCUCCCAAACGAUACUCUCCAGAAAAGUUUGGAAAGAAUACUCGGUAUCCUAUUGGAAAUAUCGCCAAGGGAAAUUUGUCCAAAACUGCCACUGCCUAUGAAGCAGCCUUAUAUGAUGAGGAGAUCCCACAAUCAGCAGAACAAGCACUCAAAAUUGAGCAUUGGAGGGCUGCCAUGAAAAAGGAAAUCGGUGCUCUGAUCGUAAUCAUACUUGGGAAAAGUGUAGAUUACCAAAGGGAAAGAAGACAGUUGGAUGUAAAUGGGUUUUCACCAUCAAAAGAAAACCAGAUGGAUCGAUUGAGCGAUACAAAGCUCGACUGGUUGCCAAAGGAUAUACACAGAUGUAUGGGAUUGACUAUGAGGAGACUUUUUCACCUGUGGCAAAGAUGAACACCGUCAGAGUUCUUCUAUCUAUAGCUGCCAACAGAGACUGGGAUCUUCACCAGUUUGAUGUUACAAAUGCCUUCCUUCAUGGAGAACUCGAGGAGGAAAGGGAGGUUUACAUGGAUGUUCCUCAAGGUUUUUCAGACGACUUUGAAGAAGGUGAGGUGUGCAAACUGAAGAAGACUCUAUAUGGCCUCAAACAGUCUCCCAGGGCUUGGUUUGGACGUUUCACAGAAGCUAUGAAGAAGUUUGGGUACCAACAAAGCAACGCAGACCACACCUUAUUCUUGAAGAAACAAGGUGAUCUUAUUUCUUGCUUAGUCAUUUACGUUGAUGAUAUGAUCAUAACAGGGGAUGACUUAGAAGAAAUUCAGAAGUUGAAAGAAAGCCUGUUCAAAGAAUUCGAGAUGAAAGACUUAGGAAGACUGAAGUACUUUCUUGGCAUUGAAGUACUCAGAUCAAAGAGAGGAAUCUUCAUCAGUCAGAAGAAAUACACUCUAGAUCUUCUUGCAGAGACAGGAAUGCUGGAUUGCAAACCAGCAGAAACACCUAUUGUGACAAAUCAUGGGCUACAGAUUGUGAAGGGAGCAGAGUUAGCUGAUCGUGGACAAUAUCAACGUCUGGUAGGGAAGCUUAUCUAUCUCUCCCAUACUCGACCGGAUAUUGCCUACGCUGUUGGAGCGGUUAGCCAAUUCAUGCAUCAACCCCAAGUUGAUCACUGGGAAGCCGCACUUAGAAUUGUGAGAUAUCUGAAAGGAACCUUUGAUUAUGGAGUGUUAUUCAAGAAAUCUGGACACCUUGAGAUACAGGCAUACACUGAUGCUGACUGGGCUGAAAAUCCUGUCGACCGAAAGUCAACAGCAGGAUACUUCACCUUUAUUGGAGGCAACCUUGUCUCAUGGAGGAGUAAAAAACAGAAAGUGGUAGCACUCUCUAGUGCAGAAGCCGAGUUCAGAGGAAUCAAGAGUGGGCUGACUGAAGUCCUGUGGCUAAGAAGACUUUUAACUGAAUUAGGUCUUCAACCAUCAAAGACGUGCCAGAUGUUCUGCGACAAUAAAGCUGCUAUCAGUAUAUCAGAAAAUCCUGUGCAACAUGACAGGACGAAGCAUGUAGAGGUUGAUAGACACUUCAUCAAAGAGAAGAUCGAAAGUGGUGUUGUGUCUUUACCCUUUGUACGAUCCGAGGACCAACUUGCAGACAUUCUUACCCAAGCCGUCAAUUCCAAGAGUUUUACAGAAGUUCUCGACAAGUUGAGCAUCGGAAAUCCCGUCACUCAACUUGAGGGGGAGUGUUGAAAAUAAGAAUCAAUAGUCAAAAGUAUUAAAAUCAAUUCAAAGAUUAGAUCUUUGAAUUGAAUAUAAGAGUGUGUAUAUUUGAUUUUAAGAAGAUUUUGUAAGACUUUUUAUCCAUCCUUAUACUAUAUAAGGAUGCAUUGUAAUCAAGGAAACAAGUAAGCAAUACAACAACAAUUAUCUUGCUUCUCUUUAUUCUCUGCAUUAUGAUAAUAACAUGUUUUA